UACGUAGGGGGCAAGCGUUGUCCGGAUUUACUGGGCGUAAAGAGCGCGUAGGCGGAAGCUUAAGUGUGGCCUGAAAGCCCCCCGGCUCAACCGGGGAGAGUGGCUGCAAACUGGGUUUCUUGAGGGCGGCAGAGGAGAGUGGAAUUCCUGGUGUAGCGGUGAAAUGCGCAGAUAUCAGGAGGAACACCGGUGGCGAAGGCGGGUCUCUGGGCCGUAACUGACGCUGAGGAGCGGAAGGCCAGGGGAGCAAACGGG
rnacentral:rRNA from 1 species